rnacentral:rRNA from 1 species
UACGUAGGGGGGCAAGCGUUGUCCGGAAUCAUUGGGCGUAAAGCGCGUGUAGGCGGUUCGGUAAGUCGGCUGUGAAAGUCCAGGGCUCAACCCUGGGAUGCCGGUCGAUACUGCCGGACUAGAGUUCGGAAGAGGCGAGUGGAAUUCCCCGGUGUAGCGGUGAAAUGCGCAGAUAUCGGGGAGGAACACCAAUGGCGAAGGCAGCUCGCUGGGACGUUACUGACGCUGAGACGCGAAAGCGUGGGGGAGCAAACAGG